GGAGAGUUCCUCACCUAAGUGCUGUGGAGGGAAUUCGCGAGUUUGCUGCUCCACUGAGGUUAUAUUUUGCUCCGCUUUUGUACUGACAGAUUGCUGGAAAUCAUCCAGCACCAACUGUUUGACAAAAGCUGAGGAGCGGGGGAUUGGGAGUUCCAAAGAGAUUCAAGGAUGUUGGAUGAUCCAGCAAAUUUGCUAAAAUAUGCGCAAUCUUAUUUGCAUCUUAUAAAUCCAGACUACAUGCACAAUGUAUUGGUCAAACAAGGAAAUACGGAUAUCCUCUAUAACAGUGCCUAAGUCGGAGAGGAUCUCGUCGGAGCUACUAAUUUGCUUUAUAGCUGAUGACGCGUCUCCUUCAAGAAUUAAGCUUGGGAUCAUCAAUAUCUUGGCUGACAAAACCGCCUCCCUUGCAGCAAGAGCCUCUGCCAACUCUGCACUGGAUAGGAUGCGCACUUUCUUGGAUAAACCUUCUUUGUGAUGUUCCUAUUCGCCCAGAUUCCUUUUGCAUCUUUUGCUUUGUGCGUGGGUUCCACGAUAGCUUUAUUUUUCUCUUUUAUUCUAUUGGUGUUUUCCGGGUGCAUGUAUUAUUCCAUCAGUUACGUGAAGCAAAUUGGUCUGCUUGGAGGUUGGACUCAUGCAAAAAUACGUCUUUCUGUAUCUUUUUGAUCGUGCAUGCUUUUGCCAAUGCUUCGAAUGAUAUUUUCUUGCCUUAUCCGUCUGUUGCUUUUCAUCUUUUGUAUUCUUCUGCUGCGGUGUGCCUUAGGUUUGGCUGCUGAUUAUAUGCUGAAUUUUUUGGCAUGGAUGCAUGCUAUGUUUUUGGUUUCUGGUAGUUUCAUUUGUAUUUUUUAUAUGAUCUUUCCAUGACCCGCCUA